AGUGAACGCUGGCGGUAGGCCUAACACAUGCAAGUCGAACGGCAGCACAGUAAGAGCUUGCUCUUACGGGUGGCGAGUGGCGGACGGGUGAGGAAUACAUCGGAAUCUACUUUUUCGUGGGGGAUAACGUAGGGAAACUUACGCUAAUACCGCAUACGACCUACGGGUGAAAGCAGGGGAUCUUCUGACCUUGCGCGAUUGAAUGAGCCGAUGUCGGAUUAGCUAGUUGGCGGGGUAAAGGCCCACCAAGGCGACGAUCCGUAGCUGGUCUGAGAGGAUGAUCAGCCACACUGGAACUGAGACACGGUCCAGACUCCUACGGGAGGCAGCAGUGGGGAAUAUCGGACAAUGGGCGCAAGCAUGAUCCAGCAAUACCGCGUGGGUGAAGAAGGCCUUCGGGUUGUAAAGCCCUUUUGUUGGGAAAGAAAAGAAGCAGGUUAAUACCCCGCUGUUCUGACGGUACCCAAAGAAUAAGCACCGGCUAACUUCGUG
rnacentral:rRNA from 1 species